UUGAUCCUGGCUCACAAUGAACGCUGGCGGCGUGCUUACACAUGCAAGUCGAACGAGAACUCCCGAAGCUUGCUUUGGGAAAGUAAAGUGGCGAACGGGUGAGUAACGCGUGGGUAAUCUAUCCUGUGAAUCGGGAUAACUGACCGAAAGGUGAGCUAAUACCGGGUAACAUCGCAUUUGCCUUGGCGGAUGCGAUCAAAGGCAGCCUCUACAUGUAAGCUGUUGUUCGGGGAGGAGCCCGCGUACCAUUAGCUUGUUGGUGGGGUAAGAGCUUACCAAGGCGACGAUGGUUAGCUGGUCUGAGAGGAUGAUCAGCCACACUGGAACUGACACACGGUCCAGACUCCUACGGGAGGCAGCAGUGAGGAAUUUUGCGCAAUGGGGGAAACCCUGACGCAGCGACGCCGCGUGAGUGAAGAAGGCCUUCGGGUCGUAAAGCUCUGUCGAGUGGGAAGAACCUGUGGCAUGUUAAUGACAUGUCGAACUGACGGUACCAUUAGAGGAAGCACCGGCUAACUCCGUGCCAGAAGACGCGGUAAUACGGAGGGUGCGAGCGUAAUUCGGAAUUAUUGGGCGUAAAGGGCGAGUAGGCGGCCUUGUAAGUCAGAUGUGAAAGCCCGGGGAUAUAAGCACAGGAAGUGCAUAUGAAACUACGGGGCUUGAGUAUGGG
rnacentral:rRNA from 1 species